ACCUGGCUGGCUCAGUCAGUGGAGCCUGCAACUCUUAAUCUCAGGGUUGUGGGUUUGAGCCCCAUGUUGGGUG
rnacentral:tRNA from 1 species